rnacentral:rRNA from 1 species
GUAGGGAAUAUUGCGCAAUGGACGAAAGUCUGACGCAGCGACGCCGCGUGAGUGAUGAAGGCCUUCGGGUCGUAAAGCUCUGUUGCAGGGGAAGAACACAAUGACGGUACCCUGCUAGAAAGGAUCGGCUAACUUCGUGCCAGCAGCCGCGGUAAGACGAGGGAUCCUAGCGUUGUUCGGAAUUAUUGGGCGUAAAGCGGGUGCAGGUGGCUUGGUAAGUCAGAUGUGAAAGCCUGGGGCUUAACCCCAGAAGUGCAUUUGAUACUGCUGAGCUUGAGUGCUGGAGAGGCUAUUAGAAUUCCUGGUGUAGUGGUGAAAUACGUAGAUAUCAGGAGGAAUACCGGAGGCGAAGGCGGAUAGCUGGCCAGACACUGACACUCAGACCCGAAAGCGUGGGGAUCAAACAGGAUUAGAAACCCGGGUAGUCC